GAAAUUGGACUAAUUUAGGCUAUAGAAUAAUGACGAUUGACGUCAAAUCCCCAAAUCAGAGGCUCCUAUAAAAAGUGCUUCUCGAAAGCACCCUUUACUUUUAUUUGCUAGGCAAAACAUACUGUCUGGGAAGAAUCAGUGUGCGAUCAAUAACCAACCCAAUCUCCGACUUCUCAUUUCUCCUCUCCCAGAUCCCAGCCACCAUGAAGCUGCUCAUCUUCUCCUGCCUUGUGGCUCUUGCUCUGGCCAGGCCAGAAGCCCUCAACUUCUCUGCUAGGCGUGUUAAACACCAAGAAGCAGAAAGCCGCCUGGUAAUGAUUUUAUUCUGCUAAUAGAGGAAUGGGUUGUGAUGGGU
rnacentral:lncRNA from 1 species